CGGCACUGUCAAGUGACUGGACCUCCUGUGUGGUGGUUUUCCAAUCUCAUUCCAGUGCUAGAGAAACCUCAGUUUGCAGAAGGGUUGAGUUAAACCACUGACUCCCCCCUUUCGAAGGCUGAGGACAAAU